rnacentral:rRNA from 1 species
GCGGCGGACGGGUGAGUAACACGUGGAUAACCUACCUAUAAGACUGGGAUAACUUCGGGAAACCGGAGCUAAUACCGGAUAAUAUAUUGAACCGCAUGGUUCAAUAGUGAAAGACGGUUUUGCUGUCACUUAUAGAUGGAUCCGCGCCGCAUUAGCUAGUUGGUAAGGUAACGGCUUACCAAGGCAACGAUGCGUAGCCGACCUGAGAGGGUGAUCGGCCACACUGGAACUGAGACACGGUCCAGACUCCUACGGGAGGCAGCAGUAGGGAAUCUUCCGCAAUGGGCGAAAGCCUGACGGAGCAACGCCGCGUGAGUGAUGAAGGUCUUCGGAUCGUAAAACUCUGUUAUUAGGGAAGAACAAAUGUGUAAGUAACUAUGCACGUCUUGACGGUACCUAAUCAGAAAGCCACGGCUAACUACGUGCCAGCAGCCGCGGUAAUACGUAGGUGGCAAGCGUUAUCCGGAAUUAUUGGGCGUAAAGCGCGCGUAGGCGGUUUUUUAAGUCUGAUGUGAAAGCCCACGGCUCAACCGUGGAGGGUCAUUGGAAACUGGAAAACUUGAGUGCAGAAGAGGAAAGUGGAAUUCCAUGUGUAGCGGUGAAAUGCGCAGAGAUAUGGAGGAACACCAGUGGCGAAG